GACAGCCGCUGAGGAGAGCGUGAUGGCGCGCUCUUGGUUCUUGUCUUCCCGCUCGGCCUCUCCAGGUUGUCGUUGGGCGGCAAAUGGAAAUGGGCGAAUAUAAUUCUUUUUGGAACUAAAAACUAGGUAGUCGUAUGUGAAGAAAUUACGGCUGCUAUUAACUCUCUCCUGUGAUUUAUUUUUGUUACAAAUAUCAUUGCUUUCUCCCCAAUUUUUUUUAUAAUGUUGCUCUGCCAGGGUAAAUUCCGUUUUAGUAUUACAAGCUGUAUCAAUCUGUAGAGAUCUUAUCACAAAUAGGUCCAGGCCUACUUGUAUUGAUUUAUACUGUAGUAAAGGUGACUAUGGUCAUAACAGAAGAGUUAAGUGGAUCAUUUUCCGAUGUAAAGAAGCGCUUUGUGUGAGGACACCUCAUCUGCUUUUAACUUCACCGCUCCCAUAGAAAAUGUGUCGAGACCGAUGAGCGCCCCACUGGAAGGGACACAAGUAGCAGCCAAACGUGGCCUAGGACUGGCUCUUUUUGCAGUGACCUGCUGGAGACCAUGGGACAUCUCAAAUGACAUCACCAGGUUACCGCUGUCCUUCUCCACUGUGUACACUGCCUCUUCAACUACAGAUUUCCACUACCAUUGAACAGACAUCAAAGAAACAGUCAGAAGCAUUAUAAAAAAGACUACAUACGUUUCAGAAAUUCCUUUUCCAUUCUCACUUCAAACUUCGUAUCCAGCAAAAACUCCUCAGAGAAGAGCCCAGCUUCAUCCUUUCCAUAGGUGCCAGUUGGGCAGUUCAAGCAGCAGCUGAAUUCCAUUCAGCCAUUUCUUCGCCAAGCUGGACAGUAAGUCCGUGUCUGUCUCGUGCUGAGACUGCCAAAACUGGACGUGAGAGAUGAACAGAAGGGAGAAAUCACUUUUGCCAGCCAGCUGGCUACAUGGCGGCCAGUGUACCUGGCAUGCCAUUAGCACUGCUGCUGCUGUGUCCAGAGCCAGGGAACAGGAGUCUGUGUAAUGUGGUCUGUGUAACUCUGGAUUCUAAGAAUCACUAAAAAAUCCCAAAUCCCU
rnacentral:lncRNA from 1 species